GGCAGUCCCAAUGCAAUGCUCUGUCCAGUGGCUGAGAUAUGAGACUGGGUCUGCACUGCCCAGCAUGGAAGGAGAAUGGGGCAGCAGGCAGCACCCUAGUGGUCCAGAUAGGUUUGUAAGCUCUCCAGCCUCAUGUACAGGCUAGCUGCAGUCCCAUCUGUGUGACUGAUGCUGACUCUGAACGGCUACUUCCCCACCUCCUGCUCGUCCUUUUCCUGGUUACUCACACUGUCUGCUUGCAGAAGACGAGAUUCUCAAGUUCCUUGGAGGGAUGCCAGAGAAAACCACAAUGGAAAAAACAUCCACAUCUUUGCCAAGGCUGUAGAGAAAAUAAUGAAGAGAAUGUAAAAUUUUUCAUGAGUGUUCUUGAAAACUGAAGAGAUACUCCUUUGAAAAAGACCAACAAGUGCUCUCUUUGCUGAAAUCAGAACAAAAUUUUAAUUAUCUAUACUCUUUUUUGAAACCUCAGUCUAAAAGUUAUCAUAUCUCAAGCUUAUCACAGAGACUCCUGGUGACUUUGACACAUGUAUGGGAACUGUUGAGUCACAGCCUGAACCACUGAUUGAGCACCUGUGGAAAAGACUGGGUCAGCCCUGGGAGCACAGGUGGAGGCAGUUCACCUCUUUGACCAGAAGAGGUGGAGCCUGGCUGCAUCUCUCUUAGACCCCAUUUAAAGGCUGACUGCCACUGGGAAAGGAUCUCUAGUUGGAGAUCUCUCUCUUGUGGAGUCCUUUCUGCAAGCCUAGAUCUUUAGAGACAGGUGAGCACCUUUCCUUUUGUAGUACCAUCUCAUCUGCACCAAUCUUUCUAAUUAUAACUACAUGUAAAAUUACAACAUAGCAGCUGGUGAAACUCCAGUACAGGAGCAUGUAUUCUUGCUCUUGUGAUUUUUAUGUAUUACUGAUGGUGGCACUGUGACUUGAAAUCCACUGAGGCUGGAUCCAGGAUCUGCUAGACCUAUUCUAUGGCCUAUUUCUCAGUGACUUUAAAGGUACCAUAAAGGGAGGCAGGCAGUAGGUGAGAAGCUUUUAUGCAGCAUACACACAGGUUGAAUGGAGCUGUGUUUUGUUGCCGUCAAGAUAGUAAUAAAACCUGAUAACUUACCAAUAAAGAAGUGGAGACUUAUGUGUUCAUUUUUAUUUUUUAUUUAUUUUUUUUUAUGUUAUAUGAGGAAUAUAUGUUUUUAUUAUAUUAAUAUAAAUUCAGUUGAGAAGGCAGACCAAAUAGCGCCAUAAUUAUAGAUUAAAAAAAAAACAACAAAAAACAACCCAAACAAUAAGUAUGUAGCCAUAUACUAAAUCAUACUUGAAAAUACUUUGACUCUCAGUUUUUGGAUCAAAGUGAACGGGUUGGGAGGAAAAAAAAAUCCAUGUCCUCAAAUAGAAGAAAAAUAAAAAUGAGUUUUAACUGUGUACCCUACAAAGGUGCAACUGUACUUUCAUACGGUAUUUUUGACUUAGUUAUAAAAAAUAUGUAUGUAUUUCAAAGCAUGCACAAGGGUGGGGGAGAUGAUCUAUCUUAGACUAUAUCCUAUAUUACACCUGUACUGUGCCUGUCAUACAGUAUUAUACAACAAAACAAUAUUGUGCCCCGAACAGAUCAUCUCCUGGUGUAAAAGUGCUGUUUUCCCCCUGAAAUGAAAUGACAGAAGAGACUACUUGAUUUCUUCAAAUCAAUGAAGUAGUCUCAUCUACUUGCCCAGCACCACUGCAAGUGUUUAUGUCUUGUUGUGUUCAUGUGACGUGUUAUCGGAAAAGAGCUGUCAGAAGGUAACUUUUGCUGGAUUAAAGACGAGAGAUUUUAGGCAUAUGAAAUCAAAGCAGACAUUCCAGUUAUCCCAUUAAGAUGAGAUGUGACCUUUAAAUAGAAGAGUGAUACUUUGGAGGAUGACAUUUGAUUUCCGAGUAUGCUCUCAGUGUGUUGCAAUUUGCUACAAAACAAUGAGUAGCAUUCAUCUGAGGCUAAGAAGUUCUUUUGGAAGUACACAAUAUGCUGUGAAAACAUCAAUUGCAUUUUAUGACUUGCCAGGCAGUCUUUCAAUGUGCUGGAGAAAUAAUCAGAGAAGGAAGGAGAGUGGGUUUAUAAAUAUUGUAUGAGAGAAACUGUAU